rnacentral:rRNA from 1 species
UUUUCAGUGUCGCAGCGAAAGCAUUAAACACACCGCCUGGGGAGUACGACCGCAAGGUUAAAACUCAAAUGAAUUGACGGGGACCCGCACAAGUAGUGGAGCAUGUGGUUUAAUUCGAAGAUACGCGCAGAACCUUACCAACACUUGACAUGUUCGUCGCGACUCUAAGAGAUUAGAGUUUUCGGUUCGGCCGGACGAAACACAGGUGCUGCAUGGCUGUCGUCAGCUCGUGUCGUGAGAUGUUGGGUUAAGUCCCGCAACGAGCGCAACCCUCACUUUUAGUUGCCAUCAUUUAGUUGGGCACUCUGAAAGAACUGCCAGUGAUAAGCUGGAGGAAGGUGGGGAUGACGUCAAGUCCUCAUGGCCCUUACGUGUUGGGCUACACACGUGCUACAAUGGCAUUUACAAUAGGAAGCAAGAUGGCGACAUCAAGCAAAUCCUAAAAAGAUGCCUCAGUUCGGAUUGUACUCUGCAACUCGAGUACAUGAAGCUGGAAUUACUAGUAAUCGCGGAUCAGCGCGCCGCGGUGAAUACGUUCCCGGGUCUUGUACACACCGCCCGUCACACCAUGGGAGUUGGUUCUACCUUAAGGCAAGGUUUAAAAUCCUUGACUACGGUAUAGUCAGCGACUGGGGUGAAGUCGUAACAAGGUAGCCGUAGGGGAACCUGCGGCUGGAUUACCUCCUU